rnacentral:rRNA from 1 species
AAACCAACAGGGAUUGCCUUAGUAACGGCGAGCGAAGCGGCAAUAGCUCAAAUUUGAAAUCUGGCACUUUCAGUGUCCGAGUUGUAAUUUGAAGAUGGUAACCUUGGAGUUGGCCUUUGUCUAUGUUCCUUGGAACAGGACGUCACAGAGGGUGAGAAUCCCGUGAGAUGAGGUGUCCAAUUCUAUGUAAGGUGCUAUCGAAGAGUCGAGUUGUUUGGGAAUGCAGCUCUAAGUGGGUGGUAAAUUCCAUCUAAAGCUAAAUAUUGGCGAGAGACCGAUAGCGAACAAGUACAGUGAUGGAAAGAUGAAAAGAACUUUGAAAAGAGAGUGAAAAAGUACGUGAAAUUGUUGAAAGGGAAGGGCUUGAGAUCAGACUUGGUGUUUUGUGAUUAUCUUCUCUUCUUGAGGGGUGCACUCGCAUUAUACUGGGCCAGCAUCGGUUUGGAUGGCAGGAUAAUAGCGUUGGAAUGUGGCUCCAUUCGUGGAGUGUUAUAGCCUUCGUUGAUACUGCCUAUCUAGACCGAGGACUGCGUCUUUUGACUAGGAUGCU